AACAGGAUUAGAUACCCUGGUAGUCCACGCCGUAAACGUUGGGCGCUAGAUGUGGGGGCCAUUCCACGGUCUCCGUGUCGCAGCUAACGCAUUAAGCGCCCCGCCUGGGGAGUACGGCCGCAAGGCUAAAACUCAAAGGAAUUGACGGGGGCCCGCACAAGCGGCGGAGCAUGCGGAUUAAUUCGAUGCAACGCGAAGAACCUUACCAAGGCUUGACAUGCACCUGAAAAGGCUGGAAACAGUCUCCCCGCAAGGCAGGUGCACAGGUGGUGCAUGGUUGUCGUCAGCUCGUGUCGUGAGAUGUUGGGUUAAGUCCCGCAACGAGCGCAACCCUCGUUCUAUGUUGCCAGCGCGUUAUGGCGGGAACUCGUAGGAGACUGCCGGGGUCAACUCGGAGGAAGGUGGGGAUGACGUCAAAUCAUCACGCCCCUUAUGUCUUGGGCUUCACGCAUGCUACAAUAGCCGGUACAAAGGGCUGCAAUACCGUAAGGUGGAGCGAAUCCCAAAAAGCCGGUCUCAGUUCGGAUUGAGGUCUGCAACUCGACCUCAUGAAGUCGGAGUCGCUAGUAAUCGCAGAUCAGCAACGCUGCGGUGAAUACGUUCCCGGGCCUUGUACACACCGCCCGUCAAGUCAUGAAAGUCGGUAACACCCGAAGCCGGUGGCCCAACCCUUGUGGAGGGAGCCGUCGAAGGUGGGAUCGGUGAUUAGGACUAAGUCGUAACAAGGUAGCC
rnacentral:rRNA from 1 species